AAAAAUUAUAUAUACACACACACACACACACACACACACACACACACACACUUGGUGACACAGGUUUGUUAUGUGCACCUGGAAAUAGGUAGAUCUUUAUUCCCCUCCCUCAACUCCCCUUGUUUCAGAAACACAAGGUUGACUUCAGUUCAGAAAAUGGCCAGCUCUUCCCACUACCCUUCCUGUUGAGAGCUACAGAGUGCUGUUGUCUUACCUACUCCACAGUAUUACAUCUUUUGCUGUGUCGGGUAGGAGGCUUCAAAUACCAGAAAGCAAUACAUGCAAAAAGGAACUAGGGGUUUGGAAGUGAGAAGAAUGGGAUAUUUAGUAAGUGGGGACAGAGACAUAAGAAUAAUAUUAGAUGAAACAUGCUAGAUAUUAACAUCUAAGCUACUAAGAGACCAUUAAAUAUUUACAGAAUAAGUUCAAAGUAAUGUCUACAUUGCAUUGACUACAAAUUUUCUGGUUAGAUUGCUCCCCUUAGAAAAUGAAAAAAACAACUAUCUAAAAGAAAAAAAAUUAUUGUAACUUUUGAAAAAAUACCACUAGAUAGGGUAAAGUAACAUUAUCCAAAAGACUCAAAAAACCAAAGUAAAAAUUCUGAAAAUGAUUACCUAAAUCAGAAGAAAAUUUCUAAAAGUCAGUAGACUCAGAAGAAUGCUAGAAAACAUACUCUCUAAAACAGAAAAAAAAAAAAGCCACAA